GAUGAACGCUAGCUACAGGCUUAACACAUGCAAGUCGCGGGGCAGCAUGGGGGUUGCUUGCAAUCCCCGAUGGCGACCGGCGCACGGGUGAGUAACGCGUAUUCAACCUGCCCUUCACCACGGGAUAACCCGGCGAAAGUCGGACUAAUACCGUAUGUUGUCCAUUGACGGCAUCCGAUUUGGACGAAAGGCUUGGCGGUGAGGGAUGGGGAUGCGUCCGAUUAGCCAGACGGCGGGGUAAUGGCCCACCGUGGCUACGAUCGGUAGGGGUUCUGAGAGGAAGGUCCCCCACACUGGAACUGAGACACGGUCCAGACUCCUACGGGAGGCAGCAGUGAGGAAUAUUGGUCAAUGGGCGUAAGCCUGAACCAGCCAAGUAGCGUGCAGGAUGACGGCCCUAUGGGUUGUAAACUGCUUUUAUGCGGGGAUAAAGUGGCCCACGUGUGGGCUUUUGCAGGUACCGCAUGAAUAAAGACCGGCUAAUUCCGU
rnacentral:rRNA from 1 species